GACGAACGCUGGCGGCGUGCUUAACACAUGCAAGUCGAACGCUGAAGCUCAGCUUUUGUUGGGUGGAUGAGUGGCGAACGGGUGAGUAACACGUGAGUAACCUGCCUCCUUCUUUGGGAUAACGCCCGGAAACGGGUGCUAAUACUGGAUAUUCACUGGUCUUCGCAUGGGGGUUGGUGGAAAGGGUUUUUCUGGUGGGGGAUGGGCUCGCGGCCUAUCAGCUUGUUGGUGGGGUGAUGGCCUACCAAGGCUUUGACGGGUAGCCGGCCUGAGAGGGUGACCGGUCACAGUGGGACUGAGAUACGGCCCAGACGCCUACGGGAGGCAGCAGUGGGGAAUAUUGCACAAUGGGCGCAAGCCUGAUGCAGCGACGCCGCGUGAGGGAUAGAGGCCUGCGGGUUGUGAACCUCUUUCGCUCAUGGUCAAGCCGCAACAAUGGUUGUGGUGAGGGUAGUGGGUAAAGAAGCGCCGGCUAACUACGUG
rnacentral:rRNA from 1 species